rnacentral:sRNA from 1 species
UUUUUUCUUGUUUUUUUUAAGUUUUGAGAAACAAGAAACCUUUUGCUCUUCUUCUUCU